AUAAAAUGGGAAUUUGCAGGGUGACUGGGGCCUUAGUCCUCAUUUGGGCGGACUUUGGUGGUGGCUAGCAAGCCGGUUAGCAGAACAGCGCACUUCUGCAAAUUGACAAGCAGUGUCCAGUGCCUAGGCGCCUUUGCAAGGCGUCUGCUGGACCGCUGUUUGCAGCAGCGAUGGCUCCCUUUGCUGGUUCUUUAACUGUUUUUCUCAUCUUUAGCGUCCUCAAUCAAAAAACAAUUUUUAAAAAAAAUCUUUGUUUGAAAAUCCAAACCUCUACUUGGUAUUUCCACAUUCAGCUCCACUGAAAUCCCGGGUGGGCCGAAAGAAGAUGUAAUUGUCUCCUGUUUGGACACCCAACUCAUUUCCCUGAAUUGAGCAAAUGCCAGGGCUUUGUCUGCGCUUGUGGCUUAAAUGCUGUGUGCUUUCUGCGCCCGGGUGGUGAGCUGUAAAGACUGGGGUCUCCAAGUCUUUCAUCAUCGUUCUAAUAAGGAAAACCAAAUCGGGCGCAUAAUGUCAUCAGCCCUGGCCCGACCUUGCGGGGACCUCCGCAGCCCGAAGAUGUCUCCAGCGGCCCCCGGCGCAGCCACAACGCGUCGCCUUUCAGCUCCUGGCGGUCCCCACAAAAGCCAGACAACAAUAUCAAUUAAUCAUGCAGCGGGCAAACAAGGAGAUUUAUCCCGCGACAAACAGCCCCACCGAGAGCCGUUGAAUGGGCGUGAUUAGCAUGUGAAAAGACGAGCAAAACUCCGUGGUUCAACAGCUAAAGAGCAAUUUGAUGGGACUGGGAUGGGGAAAUUACUUGAUUAGCGUCCGUCGGAGGAGAGCACGGUUACAGCCCCUCAGCUUGGAAUCCAACUGCGGAACAAAACGCGCUGGUAAACGCGGCGACCUGAAGGGACAACGCGCUAGCGAGGGUGGCGCGGGGACCGGCACUGACACGCGAGCGACCGUGGGGGGCGGUAAUAGUGGGCAAAGUGGCUGACCUACUUAGCCACUCCCCAAAGCGACAGGAGCUGUAACAGCUGUCCCACCUAGGCUUCUAGGCCUAGCCCGGGCGGGCAUGACUUCCCCAGCUGAUGUUGGAGGUCCGCCCUAAUUUACACUCUCCCGACUCCGGCCGGGGAGAAGAGUGUCAAGGCUUGUGAGAAGGGAAAGGUCCUCCCACAUCCUCCGGGGAGUCCCCUCGGUGGCUCCUGGAGCGUAGUCUACUACUCAGCAGCCUCUGCAGCGGCCCCAAGUCCGUUGCUAGGGCGCACGGCUCUUCAACCAGAAACUCUGAGGUUCGGUUUGCACAGGCAGUGAACUUUGGAUCGCCUUAAGACCGCUUUUCCUGAACCGCGGAAUUUAACCGCUUGGUUCCAACCUCUUAGAAAAGCUGCCCUUGUGGCCUUAGCACUUGGCAGAAAGAGGGGUGCGGGGGGGGGUCUGCAGUCCACCCGGAAGAGGUGGGGAGUUGAAAGGGGGCACUCCAAUUGAGGAUGACCCGCCUGGAGGCUCUCGAGGUGAGCUAAGUGCGGCGCCAGGGACUGCACGAUCGCCUUAGUGUUAAGGACCGCCUGGAGCUGGCGCCAGAGGGAUGCAGAGGUGGACCCUUGGGGUCGUGGAUCCCAGACUGGCUCUAGCCGCUAGAGAAGAAAAAGCCUUGCUGGAGAGCGUGAAGUUUUGCUGGCGGUGGCGGUAGUGACAAGGCUCUGAGGAGGAGAGACCUGGGACCGGAAGGGCGAGACACCGCUAGUGAAGCCCAGACCUGUAGCAGUCCUCGAGCACACUAACUCUUCAAGGCGACCUAGCUGGACAGAGAACUCUAUGUCUUCUGCCCCGCACUGUCUUUCUCUGAUGAAUGCUUAUGCACCUGUGGUUCGAAGCGCUUCCUGGGGCGACCAAAGCUGUGCAUUUUAAUUCCAAAGUCAAGUGAUUGAGCCCUGUCAAAGUUGGGAGAGGGAAACACGAUGGAGACUGCUCAGAGUUGGCUUUAUAGUUAUUUUUGCAAGUUCUGCCCGGUACCCACAGUAUUGGCCAGAAAAGCAAAAGAGGCCGCUGCAAUUUAUUCCAAUGGGCGGUUUUUAAGAAGCUGGCAAUUUGAACCGGCUGGGUGUUAUUUAGUGCAAUAUGAAAUCAAAUGAUCCUAUUUCUCAAAUAACAGUGUCUGUGAGGAGAAGUGAAUCCUCUGAAAGGGUAAUUGUCUGCUGAUGGUGUUUCCCAUUAUACCCGAUCUUGGCCUAAAUGAUGCUGGGCGGCAGGGCGGAGAGUGAGGGGUGAAAUCAAAGCACGCAACUCGGGCUCCGGAGGAAGAAAAGGUCCCUCUAGAUCGCUUACCCACAAGUCUAGCGCACAAUGCGGCCGAUUGCAUCACCGAUUUGGAUGCUAUUCUGCAGAUCUCCGACAUCAUCAAACUGAAGUGAUCUUGGGAAUAAGAGAAUAAAACUGACUCUCUUUUCGAAACUUUAGGAAUCCUUAGUAUCUUGGCCGCAUUGUUGAGCCAACAGAUAACCAAGAUAGUAAAACCCAGUUUGGCCAUGCUCCCACCUCCUUAUCCCAAGUUAAUAUUGAGAACACAGUAGUUCUUUCCAAGACACACUCUCUAGGCUUUUCCCUGUCUGGUCUCCUCGGAGCCCACAUUAGAUCUUGUAUAAGGAGUUGCCUGCACCAGACAGCAAUUUGGUGUGUAUGGUAGGAAGAGAAGGGUUCACACAGGACUUUAAAAUUGAUUCUCUGUAGAUCCAAGCCAGUUUCUGGCAGAACCCGAUAUGGGGCCAGCAGUGUCUGAGUAAAGCACAGAUGAAAGACAAACGAAAGGAUGGGUUUAGUUACUGGAACAAAAGUGUCCCACCGGAAACUACAUGUUAGCCUUGGGGCAUGUCAGUACCCCAGAGUCACAAAGGCAAUAUUCUGGGCCUGCCUUUCUUCAAACUUCUGCUUUAUCUACUGAGACAACAGCUUUGACCUUAAACCCUCUCUAACACCUUGAGGGGAGUGGCCUCUUUAGAGCCUGAGCCCCGGACAGAAGAGCAGCCUUAGAAUGCAGGUCUGUCCAGGUUUUAAGCCACAACACUUAAGGCCAAGGACCAAAGCAGCUUCCAGGCCCUUCACCUUCCAGGCCCCUUCACUUCCCCACCCUUCACAAUUUUCCCUUCUACCAACCACCUCCUCCCCCUUCAGAAUUUUUUUCUCCCUGGAGGAAGAAUAUCCUGAAAUUCUUGUGAGUUUACAUCUGUUAACUUGGAGUCAUUUCAGGCCAAACCUCUGUGUAUAGGGUUUGUUUCUGCUCUAGAUGGGUAGGUUUCUUUUCAUUUUCUUUGGGCAUAUAUAAUGUGUCAUAUAUACAUUUGCAUGCACAAUAAGAUACAUACAUAUACAUACGUGCUUAUGGCACAUUUUUCUAUAUCACGGCAUAUUUACAGGUAUACUUAGUUAUUAGUGGUUUUCUUCCCUCCACUAUUUGAAAAUAGUGGUGCUAUUUUCAAAUGAAAUUAGGUGGGAAGGGUGUCAUUUUUCUCUAUCCAAGUAGCUGCCUUAGGAAGCUUGCAAUCAUUUCUCUGACGGAGGCAUAGCCACAUCUACAGCCCAAAGCACCGAACACCAACGCGCUAUUCUCAGACCCUUACCCUUUUAUUCCUGGUUAAAAGAAAGGAGGCAUCCUGGUUUCCACCCGCGGUUCCCCUAGCUCUCGAGCCCCCACCCCCACCCGUGACCAUUUCUGAGCUAAAAGUUCAGCCUAGCUAGGGGCCUUCUGCAAUUCUGGACAUGGUAUUUUGAUUUUUAUCCUUCUACUUUGGCUCUCAACAUAUCUCUGGGAUGCAGUUUCUUAGGGUCUGCUCCAGGAGGGCCUGCUCACCUCUGGCUAAAUGGUAAAGCCUAAAAAUAGGGUCGUGAAAUAAGAGGUGGCGUUCCCCGGGUCCCACCAGCUGCCUCUCAGGACCCCUCUGAGGCUUCUGUCCCCAGCGGGGAAUCUUAGCCCUAUUGAACUGCAAAGGCCGCUAGCCACCUGCCUCGCCGGAGGCAGAACUGUGUAGCUACAGCCUCUGCGGAGCGUCCAGCCUCCGCGCUUUUACUCUGCGCGGCCCUGAGCUCUCUUCUUGGGAGGAAACCCCUAGUUUUGCUGAGGCUUCUGCAGUUCCAGCACAUCGGUUUGAUGGGGCGGCUGCACACACCUUCCAGGUUGAACCCUGGGCUGGCGUGAACACAGGUCAGCCCAAGAUUGGGCCAGGAACUGCGGCCUCUGGAAGAGUGGCUUCGGGUGGUCCUACCCGACGGUCACCAGGGCGUUUUUAGCCUCAGAAACAUCCUAGACUGCGGCAGAGGGAAGGAGAUUUAAGAUCUGACAGUUCCCUGCCUGCGACUGUUUUCCUGUGACCAGCUAGCUACUUUGCCAUGAGAAGAGUGGGCAGCGUUGACCGAUGCUACCCAGGGUCCACACCUCCCCUCCCCUCACCUCCUCUCGGAAAGCGACCCCUUCCCCCACCCGGGUUCUUCCUCCCUCCCUCUCCGCAGACCCACUGACCUUGGGAAGGCGCGGACCCACGGUGGCGGAGCCUCUCCAGGCAACCUUCGAAGCUGGAGUGUAAGGCUCGAGCGCUGCCGGUACCCGCUGGCUGGUCCGUGUCCCCCACCGCGGCCGGGAGUGUGCGGAGCUCCCUUCCCCCACGCCUUAUAAUUUAAUCACAUGAGAUAUUAAAUGAUCAAGCCGCUCAUUAAUCAUCACUGGAGUUAUUGAGACUGAGCACGGCGCCUUGUGUUUUGACAGCCCAGAAUGGUUCACCCAGCGCCGGUGCGUCUAGAUUUGGGGGAUGGGGGCUCUCUAACCACUCUUAAGAGACACGCAAGCCCCACGCGGAUUGAUGGGACCUCUUGCUUAGGAAAAUUUUUUUGGGAAAGCGUAGUCCCAGCUUUAGAGUUCAGCGGAGAGUUUGUUGGAAGCCCAUACACAUCUCCCAUUUUCUUAAAAUCUAGAUUUUAAUUGAGGGAAUUACAUAGACGACAGUCGACUUCAACUGCUAGUAUCCUUUUUCUGCAGUUUUUCUGGAGGGUGGAUUUGACCGAAUCCCUGUGUCUUCUUUACUCACUGUGGAUAGUGUGAAAUACAGAUGGAGCCAGGUCGGUGAAGACAUUUCCAAGGAUGGUUUUCUUAACUCCAGUGCAAUGAGGCUGUCCUGUUUUUCUGCACACCACAAGUACUAAUAAAGAAAAAAAAAAUAAAUGU